rnacentral:pre_miRNA from 15 species
CUCGACGGCCUUGUGUGGUACUUCGAGAGAUAGUAGACCGUAUAGCGUACGCUUUAUCUGUGACGUAUGUAACACGGUCCACUAACCCUCAGUAUCAAAUCCAUCCCCGAGGCUCC